GGGAAUUCAUAAUGAAGACCUACCUAAAGGGUUUAUCCCAUGAUUGAUGUAAAAAUUAAAUCGGGCAUCAUAUAGAACAUGCCACUCUCUUCAUAACAAAGCUAGAACCAGCCCUGUACCUCACAUGGAUCCAGAGAUCUCUACAUU